rnacentral:siRNA from 1 species
UGCCAGGUUGUGUGAGGCUAUUA